rnacentral:rRNA from 1 species
CCCUUAGAUGUUCUGGGCCGCACGCGCGCUACACUGACGAAUGCAACGAGCUUAUAACCUUGGCCGAAAGGUCUGGGUAAUCUCCAAAUUUCGUCGUGAUGGGGAUAGAUGAUUGCAAUUAUUAAUCUUCAACGAGGAAUGCCUAGUAAGCGCAAGUCAUCAGCUUGCGUUGAUUACGUCCCUGCCCUUUGUACACACCGCCCGUCGCUCCUACCGAUUGAAUGGUCCGGUGAAGCGUUCGGACCGUGGCCUUUGGACGGUUCGCCGUCUGUUGGCUGCGGGAAGUUCGUUAAACCUUAUCAUUUAGAGGAAGGAGAAGUCGUAACA